AGCGUCGUUGGUGCAACGGUUUAGCAGACGCUCCUGGUAAGAGUGAGAUGUGGGUUCGAAUCGCGACUGACGCGA